AUUAGGUCUAUGCUUAAUUCAUACAAAUAUAUUGGUUAAUGAGGAAGAACAAAUUUUACCCGAAUUCCUAAAUUAUCUGAAAAAGUAAGCAGAAUUUGGCAGAUUGUUUCUAAAGAAACUAAUCAUUACUUUCAAAACCAACAGAGAAUAAUGAUGUGGCCUAUUGUUAAAGAAUAGGAGCAGGUAUUCAUACAAAUAUGGCGAUAGAGAGCUUGAAUAAAUAUCUGAAAUCUGAUAAAAUAGAAGGAAAAGAAAAUAAGAGUUGAAAAGCUAUCAGAUUUGUUGGAAGAAAUAGUUGAUGAGAAGAUGUGGAUGAAAAUUAUGAGAAAUGAAAGACCUAACUCCAACAACUAUCAAUAAAAAAUUUUUGUAGAAUCUCA